UACGUAGGGCGCAAGCGUUAUCCGGAAUUACUGGGCGUAAAGGGCGCGUAGGCGGCCUGCUAAGUCGAACGUGAAAUCCCUGGGCUCAACCCAGGAGCUGCGUCCGAUACUGGUUGGCUUGAAUCCGGGAGAGGGAUGUGGAAUUCCAGGUGUAGCGGUGAAAUGCGUAGAUAUCUGGAGGAACACCGGUGGCGAAGGCGACAUCCUGGACCGGUAUUGACGCUGAGGCGCGAAAGCCAGGGGAGCAAACGGG
rnacentral:rRNA from 1 species